CCUACGGGGUGCUGCAGUGGGGAAUAUUGGACAAUGGGCGAAAGCCUGAUCCAGCCAUGCCGCGUGUGUGAAGAAGGCCUUCGGGUUGUAAAGCACUUUCAGUGGGGAAGAAAGCCUUGGGGCUAAUACCCUCGAGGAAGGACAUCACCCACAGAAGAAGCACCGGCUAACUCCGUGCCAGCAGCCGCGGUAAUACGGAGGGUGUGAGCGUUAAUCGGAAUUACUGGGCGUAAAGCGCGCGUAGGCGGUCUGAUAAGCCGGUUGUGAAAGCCCCGGGCUCAACCUGGGAACGGCAUCCGGAACUGUCAGGCUAGAGUGCAGGAGAGGAAGGUAGAAUUCCCGGUGUAGCGGUGAAAUGCGUAGAGAUCGGGAGGAAUACCAGUGGCGAAGGCGGCCUUCUGGACUGACACUGACGCUGAGGUGCGAAAGCGUGGGUAGCAAACAGGAUUAGAUACCCUAGUAGUC
rnacentral:rRNA from 1 species